rnacentral:rRNA from 1 species
UACGUAGGGGGCAAGCGUUGUCCGGAAUCAUUGGGCGUAAAGAGCGUGUAGGCGGCUAGAUAAGUCCGCUGUGAAAUCUCGAGGCUCAACUUCGAGCCGUCAGUGGAAACUGUCUGGCUAGAGUCCGGAAGAGGAGAAUGGAAUUCCUGGUGUAGCGGUGAAAUGCGCAGAUAUCAGGAAGAACACCCGUGGCGAAGGCGGUUCUCUGGGACGGUACUGACGCUGAGACGCGAAAGCGUGGGGAGCGAACAGG